GAGAUUAAAACAAAAAAAAAAAAGAAUGUGAGCUGGUGAUUGAGCUUUUGAAUGAAAAUGAAGAAAGAAAAUGGAAAUGGUGUGCAAGUCUUUGGGAAAAGUUGUUAUGAAUAUUUGGUAGAUAACUUACUUCUGUAUUUGAGCUGAUAUUGUGAAUAUGAUAUUUAAGAGGUGAGCUUUUGUCUGAAGCAAAGCCUUUGUAUUUUUUUUUUCCCCUUCUUUUUGGACUAUAUUAUGCGAUGAUAUUUUAGCUUUAUUUACGUCUCGGAAACUUUGGGCUGUUGCCCAACUUUCAUGGUUUUUAAUUAUAAUGAAAAGUGUUUGUCAUGUUUCAG
rnacentral:misc_RNA from 1 species